ACAAUGGAGAGUUUGAUCCUGGCUCAGGAUGAACGCUAGCGGCAGGCCUAAUACAUGCAAGUCGAACGGGAUUAUCCAGCUUGCUGGAUAUGAAAGUGGCGCACGGGUGCGUAACGCGUAUGCAACCUACCUUAAUCAGGGGGAUAGCCCGAAGAAAUUCGGAUUAACACCGCAUAAAAACACAGGAUAGCAUUAUCCAAUGUUCAAAUAUUUAUAGGAUUAAGAUGGGCUCGCGUGACAUUAGCUAGUUGGCGGGGUAACGGCUCACCAAGGCGACGAUGUCUAGGGGCUCUGAGAGGAGAAUCCCCCACACUGGUACUGAGACACGGACCAGACUCCUACGGGAGGCAGCAGUAAGGAAUAUUGGUCAAUGGAGGGAACUCUGAACCAGCCAUGCCGCGUGCAGGAAGACGGCCCUCUGGGUUGUAAACUGCUUUUAUUCGGGAAUAAACCUUAUUACGUGUAAUAAGCUGAAUGUACCGAAGGAAUAAGGAUCGGCUAACUCCGUGCCAGCAGCCGCGGUAAUACGGAGGAUCCAAGCGUUAUCCGG
rfam:Parastrongyloides trichosuri strain KNP genome assembly, scaffold: PTRK_contig0000613